rnacentral:lncRNA from 1 species
UGAGCAAAAUCUAACUCAUUCUUAUGAGAAUAAUGAUUCAAGUAAAAUCUGCAAAAAGAGAAGAUUAAAUCAAUUUACAAAUGUCAGAAAAAUGCACAAAUGGAAAAUUUAGUAAAUUACCAAAUAUAAGCACGCAGUACCACAUAUGUUUUUUAAAAGAAAAAACUCUAGUGAAGUUAUUACAUUAUAAUAAGAUUUAAGUUGUUUAUCCACAAAAUAAACAAAGAGCAAGUAACAUUACCUAACAAUCAUUGAUUUCAGAUUUGAUCUCAAAAAAUGAGAAUUGUUUUCGCAGAUGUAGAGCCACAUCGAUGCAACACGGCAGUACUUCAUAUAUUGAGAUAGAAAAUUGCCUACACUUUCAGUUCAACAUGCAUGUAUGACAAUACAACCUGUUCAUACAUUGAGCAGAAAUAUUUAUAUGCUUUCCACUGAAAUUUUAAUUUAUCACAAUAUAAUUGCUUUGUCGACUCUGUAAACUUUUCCCCCUUAUUCCGUU